GGUUCGAUUCGAGCGAAAGCGAGAAAGCGUUGCCGCAGGCAACGACCCGAAGGGCGAAGCGCGCAGCGCUGAGUCAUCCUUCCCCCCUCAUCC
rnacentral:sRNA from 1 species